rnacentral:rRNA from 1 species
UACGAAGGGGGCUAGCGUUGCUCGGAAUCACUGGGCGUAAAGGGUGCGUAGGCGGGUCUUUUAAGUCAGGGGUGAAAUCCUGGAGCUCAACUCCAGAACUGCCUUUGAUACUGAAGAUCUUGAGUUCGGGAGAGGUGAGUGGAACUGGCGAGUGUAGAGGUGAAAUUCGUAGAUAUUCGCAAGAACACCAGUGGCGAAGGCGGCUCACUGGCCCGGUACUGACGCUGAGGCACGAAGGCCAGGGGAGCAAACGGG